GCCUGGCUAGCUCAGUCGCUAGAGUGUGGGACUCUGAAUCCCAGGGUCAUGGGUUCGAGCCCCACGUUGGGUG